GAAGUUGAGAAAGGACUGUAGGUGGAAGACGAAGUAGGUCACAGGCAGCGUGACACUAUUGACGAUAAUAAUUAUUGGUUUUUUAAUUUUUCUUUUUCAUUUUCAUCUUCAUGCAAAAACAUUACUGAUAAUUCGUGUGAUCCAAACUUUUCCCUUCAGGCUUGGAUCCUCUAGCACUUCCCACGCAUCUCCGGUUGGGCGACUGUUGAGACUUACAUUGAGGAUAUGAUGUGUGUUAUUGCUUUUUC
rnacentral:lncRNA from 1 species